GAAAAACAUAUUAUAGAGAAGCAAUGAGAACCCAGCUGAGGGGUGGUAAUAAACAGGGUCUUGCUGAAAACUACAUGGAACAUUUCAAGAUAUAAAGAGAGGCAUUGACCAGCUUCCUGAAUUGAAUGAAGUUGGAUGUGUUUUCACAGUGCCAAUUCAGUUUGACAAGUGGGAAAGAGAUGUUUGCUGAGCAGGGAGAGAAUAUUUGAAGUCCAGAGGAAUUGAUUACACAGAUGACCCCACGAACCAAGAGUGAUAGCAGAAAAGAGAGGAAGAUACCUG
rnacentral:lncRNA from 1 species